GAGGAAAGCGGAAGGGAUGAGAAGGAAGUUUAAGCAAGGUGAGGAGUGGAGAGACAGGACUGGAUACAGAGAGGGUAAAACUACGCAGGCACAGAUGCACAAAUUACCUCCAAAUGCUCUCUGAUAUUGCCAGGCCAGCGAAAGGAAGUAAAACCAGUUGAAACCAGUUGAAACCAGUUGAAACCAGUUAGGUUUGGGGUUUAAACGUGGUUCCUAACAGAGCACUUCAAAGGGAAGUAAAACCAGUUGAAACCAGUUAGGUUUGGGGUUUAAAUGUGUUUCCUAACAGAGCACUUCAAAGGGAAGUAAAACCAGUUGAAACCAGUUAGGUUUGGGGUUUAAACGUGGCUCCUAACAGAGCACUUCAAAGGGAAGUAAAACCAGUUGAAACCAGUUAGGUUUGGGGUUUAAACGUGGUUCCUAACAGAGCACUUCAAAGGGAAGUAAAACCAGUUGAAACCAGUUAGGUUUGGGGUUUAAAUGUGUUUCCUAACAGAGCACCUCACAGGGAAGUAAAACCAGUUGAAACCAGUUAGGUUUGGGGUUUAAACGUGGUUCCUAACAGAGCACUUCAAAGGGAAGUAAAACCAGUUGAAACCAGUUAGGUUUGGGGUUUAAACGUGGUUCCUAACAGAGCACUUCACAGGGAAGUAAAACCAGUUGAAACCAGUUAGGUUUGGGGUUUGAAAGUGAACACUUCUGAAGCCUAACUCCAAAGGAACACUUACGAAGCUUGGCUCCUUGUUUAGGCAGGCCUCCACAAACUCCUUGAGGGGCUUGCUGUAGUUCCCCUCCAGGGUAGGAGGGGUGUUCU